rnacentral:rRNA from 1 species
CGAAUCCGCGAGGAGGAGCGAAUCACAAAACUCGGUCCCAGUUCAGAUUGCAGGCUGCAACUCGCCUGCAUGAAGUUGGAAUUGCUAGUAAUCGCGGAUCAGCAUGCCGCGGUGAAUACGUUCCCGGGCCUUGUACACACCGCCCGUCACACCAUGGGAGCCGGUAAUACCCGAAGUCAGUAGCCUAACCGUAAGGGGGGCGCUGCCGAAGGUAGGAUUGGCGACUGGGGUGAAGUCGUAACAAGGUAUC